UGAAGCUAUCGGUUCCCACGUUAGAUUCCUUCAGAACUUUAUGAAAUUGAUGAACAGAUUAUUUGUGCACCUAAUUAGUGCAAAACAAUUUUUUUAUUUAAUCUCCACACAGGAAAUGCUUGCAAAGGUGGAAUAUGCGGGAGAGCAGAUGAACAUUAAAGUUCCACAAAGUGAUGAAUCCUUUCAUUUCCUCCAAUUUCUUCAAGAGGUUGUGGACAAAUCCAGCUUUCAGCCUCAACUCUUCACAGACGGUGUACUUGUCCUGACUGACACUGAAGUUGAUUCAGACAUUUUUGAUGAGCUGGUAAAUUCUGGGGUUCAAGCUUUCAAAGUUGGAUAUAGAAAGCAGACAACCACAGAUAUUGAGAUCAGUGUUGUUGAAGAUGAAUCACAGUCAUCAGUACAGCCUCUCGUCCCCCCAACAUCAAUUUCAUUGUCAGACCAUCCGUUGUCUCCAGUUCAACUAUUAUUCUCAAAAGUACAAAGAACAGGAAGUAGGGCCUAGAAGAGCUUGAUCUUGAUGAAGCAAAACUGGUCAAAAGGUUUGAGUUUGGUCUUUUAAAAUUAAGAAGASUUGAUAGCUUGGAAGGUGGACAUGUAUUGUGUGAGUCAUUAAAUGUAGAUUUAUGCUGAAAUGUUUCAAAAUGGGUGGGAAAUUAUGGCACUGAAUACCAGGUUGGCCUGUUUUAAUACUUGAAUGUUCAGCGAAUACAUGAACAACUAGGCUGUACUGUCAACACCUUGUACUUUGAUGAACACUUUCAUGCAUAUUGUAUUGAAGAAAAAACACACAGUGUUAUUUGCAUUGACCAUCUUAAAUAUGUCAGACCCUUUGAUAAGCAAAGUGAGAGAGCGUGUUCCACMUUGUUACAUGUUUUAGAAACUGUUUUCCAAUUGUGGUGCAAGUUUUGAAAYAAAUGCAUUUCAGAAAA